rnacentral:rRNA from 1 species
GACGUAGGGGGCCAGCGUUGUUCGGAAUUACUGGGUGUAAAGGGUUCGUAGGCGGUGUGGCAAGUCGGGAGUGAAAUCUCUGGGCUCAACUCAGAGACUGCUUCCGAAACUGCUGUGCUGGAGUGCGGGAGAGGCGCGUGGAAUUGCAGGUGUAGCGGUGAAAUGCGUAGAUAUCUGCAGGAACACCCGUGGCGAAAGCGGCGCGCUGGACCACUACUGACGCUGACAGCGCGAAAGCCAGGGGAGCAAACGGG